rnacentral:sRNA from 1 species
AUGCUCCUAAUGUUGUGUUAAGUGUUGGCAGAUUCUGGACCCCGCCCCUAGCGGUCCAGUACUUGAACCCCGAACUUCCCUCCCCCAUACGAAGUCCGGGGUUUUUUUUGCCUGCCA